rnacentral:lncRNA from 1 species
GCCUGCCCAGGAUGGGGGGACCCAAAGGCCUGACUGUGGUGGGGACACCUCACGUCCUGACAUGGGGACACCCCACGGCCUGCCCAGGAUGGGGGGACCCAAAAGCCUGGCCGUGGUGGAGAUGUGGUGGGGCUACCUGAGGGUCUAGAUGUGUUAGGGUCAUUCUGUGGCCUGCCCAGCUGGGGACACUGUGGGGACACCCAAAGGCCUGCCCAGGCUGGGGAUGUGGUGGGGCCAACCCGGGCCCUGGGUGCAUUAGGGCUGCUCUGUGUCCUGCCAGGGCUGGGGACAGCCCAAGGCCUGACCUGGGGACAGCCCAAGGCCUGUCGAGGAUGGGGGGACCCAAAGCCCUGCCCAGGCUGGGGAUGUGGUG